AGUGAACGCUGGCGGUAGGCCUAACACAUGCAAGUCGAACGGCAGCACAGUAAGAGCUUGCUCUUACGGGUGGCGAGUGGCGGACGGGUGAGGAAUACAUCGGAAUCUACUUUUUCGUGGGGGAUAACGUGGGGAAACUUACGCUAAUACCGCAUACGACCUACGGGUGAAAGCAGGAGAUCUUCGGACCUUGCGCGAUUGAAUGAGCCGAUGUCGGAUUAGCUAGUUGGCGGGGUAAAGGCUCACCAAGGCGACGAUGCGUAGCUGAUCUGAGAGGAUGAUCAGCCACACUGGAACUGAGACACGGUCCAGACUCCUACGGGAGGCAGCAGUGGGGAAUAUUGGACAAUGGGCGCAAGCCUGAUCCAGCCAUACCGCGUGGGUGAAGAAGGCCUUCGGGUUGUAAAGCCCUGUUGUUGGGAAAGAAAAGCAGCAGGUUAAUACCCCGCUGUUCUGACGGUACCCAAAGAAUAAGCACCGGCUAACUUCGUG
rnacentral:rRNA from 1 species